CCUACGGGGCGCAGCAGUAGGGAAUAUUGCUCAAUGGGGGAAACCCUGAAGCAGCAACGCCGCGUGGAGGAUGUAGGUUUUCUGAUUGUAAACUCCUUUUGUUAGAGAAGAUAAUGACGGUAUCUUACGACUACGCACCGGCUCACUCCGUGCCAGCCGCCGCGGUCAUACGGAGGGUGCAAGCGUUACUCGGAAUUACUGGGCGUAAAGAGCGCGUAGGCGGGAUAGCAAGUCAGAUGUGAAAUCCUAUGGCUUAACCAUAGAACUGCAUUUGAAACUGUUAUUCUAGAGUAUGGGAGGGGUAGGUGGAAUUCUUGGUGUAGGGGUAAAAUCCGUAGAGAUCAAGAGGAAUACUCAUUGCGAAGGCGACCUGCUAGAACAUAACUGACGCUGAUGCGCGAAAGCGUGGGGAGCAAACAGGAUUAGAUACCCUGGGAGUC
rnacentral:rRNA from 1 species